rnacentral:rRNA from 1 species
ACGCUGGCGGCAGGCCUAACACAUGCAAGUCGAGCGGCAGCGGGAAGUAGUUUACUACUUUGCCGGCGAGCGGCGGACGGGUGAGUAAUGUCUGGGAAACUGCCUGAUGGAGGGGGAUAACUACUGGAAACGGUAGCUAAUACCGCAUGACCUCGUAAGAGCAAAGUGGGGGACCUUCGGGCCUCACGCCAUCGGAUGUGCCCAGAUGGGAUUAGCUAGUAGGUGGGGUAAUGGCUCACCUAGGCGACGAUCCCUAGCUGGUCUGAGAGGAUGACCAGCCACACUGGAACUGAGACACGGUCCAGACUCCUACGGGAGGCAGCAGUGGGGAAUAUUGCACAAUGGGCGCAAGCCUGAUGCAGCCAUGCCGCGUGUGUGAAGAAGGCCUUCGGGUUGUAAAGCACUUUCAGCGAGGAGGAAGGCAGUCGUGUUAAUAGCACGAUUGAUUGACGUUACUCGCAGAAGAAGCACCGGCUAACUCCGUGC